ncrna:unclassified sequences GEBRO RNA
CGUUCGGUUCUCGGCGGAGAAUGUUGUUAGGGGCUAGAUAUAAUAUUUUAUUUGAGAUGAUACACUCCAGACUUGAAAGAGAGUUGACCCAAGUAUCCGCAAUCUGCUGACGGGUUAAUAAGCAGACGGGCGAAAGUAGGUAAAGUGACACCCCAAGACCUUCACAAUGAACCUUGCUAAGAGGUUCGGGCUAAGUCCUUUUAGGAUAUGCUUAAAACGGGGAGAGGUAGGCUGAAAGCGACAUGAUGAGGACACGAACAAGACCCGAAAGGGUAGCAGGUAGGGCAUGCAGACGCCUGCAAAAAGUUCGUUCAAAGCUUGAGAUAGUUUUGAAGUUUUAACCCCC